GGAGGCUUGAAGUAAGUAGAGUGGAAUUACUUCUCCAAGUUGGGACAUCUUGUGUGGCAGUCGGUGCUCUAGUUGCAGGUAUAUUUGGCAUGAACUUGAANNNNNNNGAAGAGCACAUGUUUGCCUUUUGGCUGACAACAGCUGGGACAAUUGUUGGUGCUGUUGUGGCAUUUUUUAUGAUGUACUCGUAUCUCAGGGCUAGGAAAAUACUGUAACUUAGCAGCUAUUUGAGUUAGGUAAGUUCCCUUUCGCUGGAUUGUAUUGGCUAUUGGCAUUCAUUUGCAAUUCU
rnacentral:misc_RNA from 1 species